GUUCCGUGAUGAAGCCAUUUUCGCAAUAAUUUCUUGAACCUCUCACAUGCCUCAUAUAAAGAUUCUUCCUCAAGAUGCUGAAAAGAAGUGAUCUCAUUAUAGAGCUU